GAGGGUCUAGCUCAGUGGUAGAGUGCCUGCUUAGCAUGCACAAGGUCCUGGGUUUAAUUCCCAGUACCCCA
rfam:Camelus ferus unplaced genomic scaffold scaffold1629, whole genome shotgun sequence.